rnacentral:rRNA from 1 species
GACAGAGGGGGCAAGCGUUGCUCGGAAUCACUGGGCGUAAAGGGCGCGUAGGCGGGUCCGCAAGUCGAUCGUGAAAUCCUUCGGCUCAACUGAAGGGGGUCGGUCGAUACUGCGGGUCUUGAGGGAUGCAGAGGAGACUGGAAUUCCCGGUGUAGCGGUGAAAUGUGUAGAGAUCGCUUGGAACGCCGAAGGUGAAAACAGGUCGCUGGGGAUGUGCCGACGCUGAGACACGAAAGCCAGGGGAGCAAACGGG